ACAACUAACCAGGCUGUUAGUGCUCAUUAUCAAGCUAGCAUGUUAAUAUUGGAUAGGUUUAAAAAGACUGAGUUUUAAUCAGUAAGGAGCUGGCUAGCUAACUGUUAGCAACAGGUAGCUGUGCUAACAGCUGUGGUAACAUUGCGCAAAGCGAAAAACAGGCUGAUACACAUUUUCCCGUUUCCAUCAGUUACACUACACAAACGUGAAUUUCGUAUUAGACUCCUAACAUGUACGUGGUUUUGCAUGUUUGAGCUUACCCGGUGACAGCAUUAUUGUCUCUGAUGAGGACUGGACCCCAGAGCCAAGCACAGACCAGGACAGGACUGGGGUUCGAGGCGAAGCAGAGGAGGGAGGGCUGCCGGGGUCCGAGGAAGAAGAGGCAGGACGGGGAGCACGAGGUGCAAGCUAAGGAGCACAUCUUCUAGGACCUGUGUCGAGCUUCAAACUUCAACAACUGCAUAUGAACAGGCCAGAAUCUGAGCACUGUGGACAACAUUCAGACUACAGUGUUUCCAUGCACCACACAUGAUCUUCCAGAUCCAGGACAGAGUAAUGGACAGUUGGAAAGUGUGGAAAUGUGGAGCACUUUGUCAAAGAGUCGUGAUACUAAUUUGCUGUUUCUGGAAGAUAUGCAGCUGCUAUCCUGAUCAACUAAGACAAUACAGAAGUUUAAUCCUAGAAGGGUGUAAGAUAUAAUGUCACUAACUGCUACACAAAUAAUUCCAUCCACUGUGUGAAUAAUACCUGUACAUUGUUUUAUGCCCAGGAGGGUAGAGAAUAGUAUACUGAAGUAUACUGUUCCCUGUUCUGGAGAAUAUUUGCAUUCUUUUUUAAAUAAAACAUUGAAAAU